AAGACCUCGCGUUAAUGGAGCGGCCGAUGUCGGAUUAGCUAGUUGGUGGGGUAAAGGCUCACCAAGGCGACGAUCCGUAGCUGGUCUGAGAGGACGACCAGCCACACUGGGACUGAGACACGGCCCAGACUCCUACGGGAGGCAGCAGUGGGGAAUUUUGGACAAUGGGCGAAAGCCUGAUCCAGCCAUGCCGCGUGAGUGAAGAAGGCCUUCGGGUUGUAAAGCUCUUUCGCAAGGAAAGAAAACUUAUCCACUAAUACUGGGUGAGGAUGACGGUACCUUGAUAAGAAGCACCGGCUAACUACGUGCCAGCAGCCGCGGUAAUACGUAGGGUGCGAGCGUUAAUCGGAAUUACUGGGCGUAAAGCGUGCGCAGGCGGUUUCGUAAGUCAGAUGUGAAAUCCCCGGGCUCAACCUGGGAACU
rnacentral:rRNA from 1 species